GCCCCCGUAGCUCAAUUGGAUAGAGCAGCGGAUUUCUACUCCGCAGGUUGCAGGUUCGAGUCCUGCCGGGGGUGCCA
rnacentral:tRNA from 1 species